rnacentral:snoRNA from 1 species
AACAUGAUGAUAACAUUUAUCCCGAACUUGAAGACAAAUGAGAAUACAAUUGUUUCUGAUUG